rnacentral:rRNA from 1 species
GACGAACGCUGGCGGCGUGCUUAACACAUGCAAGUCGAGCGGUAAGGCCCUUUCGGGGGUACACGAGCGGCGAACGGGUGAGUAACACGUGGGUGACCUGCCCUCAGCUCUGGAUAAGCCUGGGAAACUGGGUCUAAUACUGGAUAUGACUCCACGGUGCAUGUCGUGGGGUGGAAAGCCUUGUGUCGGCUGAGGAUGGGCCCGCGGCCUAUCAGCUUGUUGGUGGGGNGAUGGCCUACCAAGGCGACGACGGUAGCCGGCCUGAGAGGGCGACCGGCCAC